AUUUCAGAUCUAUCAUCAGCUCCAGCGAAUAUGACGGACUGUCUGUCAAUGAAAGCUUCACCAUCAGCAUCAAUGUGCCCAAGACCAAGCCUCUGAAGGAGCUACAGCAAAGCAAAUUGAGCUCUCAGUUCCUGAAAGCCAGCAAAACAAUAUACAAAGCAGGAUCCAGGAUCCAUUGAAACAAACGUGUUUCUGCUGUUUACAACAGAGGAGAAGAAGGUAACAUACAUAAUUUUAGAUCCUACUUCAGUAUGUCUCAGUGCCAAAUUGAUUCCCAAGGUAGUUUGAGCUAUGAAGGAGUCUUGAACCUUGCCUGCAACCGCCCUCUGGGGAAGGCUGCCAAAAUAACGUCGGCUACAGCUACUGUAAAGACCGCCCUGCACAGCCAAGGCUUGGAGAGGAGAAGGUAACUCAGAGAUUGUCCCUUGGCAAAUCCCCAGUGUCUGUAAAGGAUGGCAUGGUUUGUUUACACACACAAGAAAGUGUAAAGGAAUUGUAACAAUGCACAGGAAAGACAAGAGGCCAUACAAAAAGUAUGAGGGGACAUGGCAGAGGGUGGAAAAGAAGAACAUUCUUUUUCCACAGGAGAUGCAAGAUUAGCUAAUUCAGUGGAGUGGUUGAGAUGUGAUAGAACAGACGCUAGGGUUCAGGUUUUCAGAAGAACAUCUAUAUACUCUGACAUCUAAUACUCAUAUAAGAUGGUACUGCACAACGACAUUGCACAUACAGUCCUGGGGAAGACUGGUUCAGGUCAAACAUGUUACUGGGAACGUUUUUUAAUGUGCCUAAAUGUUUCUAUAUAGGUUUUAUACCUUAUUGACUAUGGUUUCUUGAAUAUUUUUGUAAGAGUUUUUGUGAUGUUGACAGUGGCUCAUUGAGUGUUUUCAUAUCUGUGUUAAGCGCAUUUGAUGGGAAAUACUCAAGUAUAUCGUGACCUCAUUUAAACGUAACCCACUCCUUGGAGAGAGGAAGAUGUGGUCUGCAUUGAGAAUAAUGAACUGGCUGGCAGAAAAUUCUGUAACACCAAGUUUUAACCCAUUUAUUUUUUAGUGAAAAUUAUGCCUCUGAAGGCUGACUAUGGAAAUGUUCCCACAUCUCCUAUUAAAAUGUUCCCACCUACUGCUUUUCAAUAGGAAGAAUGUCAAAAAGACCUCUUAGGCCAAAGUGUUCAGUCAUGUUAUUUCUACCAUCCCAACUAAAAAUGCCUCCUUGCACUAUUGCAGCUAGAAAUAUUGCUACAUUAUUUGUUGUUGAGCUUCUUCCAAUAGAAAUACCACAAAAAUGCCUUUUCUUUGGGGUAUUUAGACUAUGAAAUUCUUACAAAUUGUAUAUAUCAACAUAGCUCAAAUUGGUACCAAGUAUUAUUCUUUUUAAACAUUACCAGUGUUUUGUGGCAUGUCUUCCCUUUCCUUUUUAAGAACACAUCAUCAGAUUAGAGAUCCUGCUGGGAACAAACUGUCACCAGAAUUCUUAUUUGUAAAAGAUGAAGAAAAUAUAUAUUAUCAAAGAAUGUAUAAAACCUCACCUUUGCUUUAGAAAUAAGUCAAAAUGCCAUCUUUCCAAGAGAAAAGAUCAGCUGGCAUAUUUAAGCAGAAGAGACAGUCAAAUGGAUAUCUGUCUGGAUCAUUUAUUUGUAUAUGUAGUUAUAUAGGUCUUGCAAAUUCUGUUACCGCAGUGGGCACUGGUAGGAAAAUCACUUCAAUUUUUUUUAAUAGCUUAAUUUAGUAUAUUUAACUCAGAAAUACUAGGUUAUGUGAAUGAACAGAUGUGUCCUUCAUGUGUCCUUUUCAGUUUACUGUUUUGAAAGUUCCAAAGCAUGGCUUGAAAGGUCAAAGCAGGGAAUUAAAACCUCUGAAAUUCUUCUUCUUUAGCAACACAGCUGUUGGAGAACAGUUGAAUCAAAGUGGAGGUGUCCUCUCUACACCAUCAUCACUUUCAGAAGGUUCUUUGCAAAAAAACAGUACCUUGAAGGCUCCAAAACUUGGAGGGGCGAUAGGUAAGGUGAGAAAGCUUGCAAAUAAAUAUACAGGGAGUCACCCUGUGAGAAUUCAAGACACAGCAAUUUCCUUGGGAAAGGUAUAUAUCAAAGUUUUGUCAUGUGUAUUGUCGGUGUACACUCUCAGAAGCUCACUAGGAGGUAAAGCUUGCCAAAAGUUCAUUGGAGGAGCAAUAUUGAUAGUUUGUGAUGAAGAUGGAUGCUGGAAUCCCUCCAGUUUGGGAAAGUUUGGGUUCAGUCAGGAAGCAUUUGCUUUAUGCUGCUUACCAUAAGCGAUCAAACUGGGCCACCAGCCUGAUAAGGCUCCCCACCUUCCCAGCAUUGUGUUCAAAUCUAAAUCCUGAAUCAGUGUUGUGGCUUGAAGACUCCUCUCGGUAUCAAAGGUAAUAACUAUCCUUGCUUUGACUUCUAGGGCUGAAAGAACCAACCCAUAAAGAUGAAUUAAAAGUUUCUAUAGUCUCUUGAAUACAUUUCCAUUUUGUGUCCAACCCUACAAAAGUUCAUCUUAGCACUAGCACUGUCUUUGGGUUGUUUUUUUUCAAUUCCCUUGAGUUGCUCACUGAAAUAACACAGUUCUGCAGCACCUCAGGGAAGUCUGAGGCUCACAAAGGAACUGUCAGACCUGGUAACUACACCACAGGUUUCCAGAGAGCGGUGUUUCAACAGACUACAGAAGAACAGGGAUGACUAAUGCCAAACAAUCUCAGCAUUUGAAGACAGUUCCCAGGCUGAGCACCAGAAUGGGCUCUGGGUUGGUACCGAAAAAUACAGAUGUCACGCAGAGCCUCUCUCUCCUGUGACUCACGCUGCUUUUGUAGUGGUGUGGCCCUGCUGAGCAGCCAGCACUUCGUUGUGGACACAGAGUACAUCGGAAAUGGGCCCACAGAGUGACCACAGAAGCAAGCAACAUCUAGACAGAAUUCCAGGAAAAAUACUUUGGAGCCGUAUGUUUGCCCAGGACCGUGACACUAAUAUGAGCUUCAUGAUGAGACCUAGACAAGAAGAGAGAGGAGUCUCAAGAUUGGAUGCUGAAGCCAAGCUUCUGGGAAGAGCAACCAUUUUCAGCAUAGUGUGCAGGUUGGAGGCUACCUCAGCCCAGAAUACCAACCCUUCAAAAUACAAUCACAAAGUAUGAUAUGGAAAUUCUGGAACAGAAUAAUCUGCAUGGGGCAAACGAUGAGACAAAAGCAUUGGCAGAUCUCCUAGCAUGAGAAAAGAGAAUUCCGUGGCCGACAGCCUCCUCAUGGAGAUGGACCGCCAUGAAGGUGCCUCUCUCUGAUGUCCUCAUGUCAGACAUUGCAGCUGCCAUGGCACCACCAUCUUACUUCAAGCAGGGGGGCUCAAGCUACUCUCCAUCACAUGUGAAAGGACAAAGCCAGCAUCCUUCUGAUUCCCACAGGCAGGCAUGGAGAAGCCCUCAUAACGUAUACUGAAAAGUGGGGUUCUGUCUCUGUGUAUGAUGCAUUCAUUACAUGCAUACUACUCUGCCAGUCUGUUCGUAACUUGCUAUUUGUCUGGCACUACAUGCCAUAAAGAAGACCAGGUGGAUGGUCUUUAACUAUACAGAAAAGCUGCUAGGCAAAAUAAAAAGAACAAACCCUUCAAAGAAAACAUAAAGCGGCUGCCUCUGAGGCAAACAUAAACAUUUAACAAGUGAUACAAGUUUUGUAUCAGUUGCAGUUUUAUGUAAACUUCAUGCGUAGGCCUUACGUAGUGCUCAUAGUAGAAGCUUACACAGUGUAGUAGUGAACUGAGUUGCGCCUGGCUUGUUAUACACAAUUUUGCAGGCAUAAGCUGCUCUCCACUUGCUCAAAAUAAGUAAAGGUCAAUUAUUUCUAUCAACAGUAGCCUGGAGAGGAAAAAAGAAAUCUAUUUGAUUUCUGAAGCAAAAUCUGAGUAACUAACAGCAAACACUCCAGACUAGGGAAAAAAAAUUGUACCACUGGUGGUCCAGUCUCCAGUAGACUCUGAUUCAGCUGUAAAAGAACAACAGAAAACUGGCAUGUAUUACAUACAGAAAAUAUCACAAUCCAUGCCUUUAGGAGUCGAAUUGCAGCAAGAUGACAUUGCAAGCACAAGGUUAAACACCUGCCCUCCUAACUACUGAACUAAAAUGGAGCACUGAGGAAUCCAAAGGUAUUGAGUGCAAGUGACUAAUGGUAGGCUGGAUUUUUUUCUUUACCUCUCUGGCUAGCCAAAGCCAUCCUUUAGCACUGGACAGGAAAACACCUAUCUCACAAAAGAGUUCCAGAAUGUUUGGGGUUUCGUUUGAGUUAAAAUGAAUGGGAAGCUUUGUGAUAGCUGAAAAAUGAGAAAUAUAAAGGAUACCCUUUGGAUUAAGCCAAUUCUCCCAAAACCAAGACACUGGUAGAGGAUCUCAGAUGUUCUUCAUUGCAUUAGGUAGAUAAACCUUGACAUGGGCCUGCCCCAUCCUCCUGAACCUCCUAGAUGCAGCCCACAGAGCCAGUUUCUCUUUAUUCCUUGUGCUAAAAGGGUUUUGCUUGGACUCUACAACUGUCCAUAAACUGAAUUCUGCAGUCCAAGCUUCUGACAAAGAUAAUUCAUGGAGAGCUAACAGUAGAGGUAUCCUGGAUGUGUCAGAAGGAAGCAUGACAAGAUAGAUUCAUCAAUUUUUCCUUAUCUUUUUACCAGCUCUGUGCUCAGGAUACAAUAAGGCCCUAUUGCACUCAGCAGCAAAACUUGCACUACUUUUAGUGACUUGCAGCCAGACAAUCUGUGUUUACAGCUGAAGAAAAGAGACCGUACCCAGCUGCUCAGCAAGGAAUUAGCAUGUGUGGAAGAGAAGGAGAAGCAAAAGAGAAAGCACCAUGAGCCUGUUGCCCUCCCCCUCCUCCCACCUCGCCUCUCGUGCAUCCCCCAAGGUCAGGCACAAUCUGUCCCUUUGUAUCCAGGAAAGAAAUAGGAUGCAAAGUGUUAGGAAUUUCCUAAAACUGUCUCGAAUCAUGUGCUGUUUAAGUAACUGUCAUUUUGCUGCCUGGUUCAUUGACACUUGGGUCUUAAAUGGUGCUUGUGGAGGAGUAAUAUUUUCAGCUCUGAAGGGGUAAAGAAAACAGUUUUACAAAACUAAAGCCUUUGAACAAUGAUAUGUGGAGAAGGAAGAUGUUUAUAUGCUUAUUUCAUGUAAAGCCUGCAUUCUCUUUGCAUGAAAUCAACAAGGUAUUGAAAUAAGUAUUUCACUUAAGUGUAGCGUGUAGGAGAAGUCUAUUUUCAUAGACAGAAAAAAAGUUAGAACAGAUGGUUGAAGGAAAAAUUAGUUUAAAGACAUCAGAAACAGCUGAAUAAACUUUCAGAAGUCCAAGAAAAAAAGAGGUUUAAUCUUCUGGUUUAUUCUUAUUUUCCCGUUUACAUUCUUUAAAUGCACUGGAAAUGGCAUUCAACUUUCUUAGUACUUCAUCCUUUUUCAUUUAUUAAGUUUUUUGUGUAUGGAUCAUAAUAUUUAAGGUCAUGGGGAAGAACACUGUUAAAACAGCACUAGAUCUACUGUUAUUCUCCACGUUACUGUUAAAGUUAUAAACCAAGAGGCACACAAGAUUUCAGAGCUGUUAUUAGUCCACACCUCAUGAACACACCAUUAACAGAGAUGGGAUUAAAAAUCAGGUUCACCUAUCAACGAAAAAUAAUCUCACUUGUUGCUUCCCUUUGACAUAUUCUGCUGUAUGUUGUAGCAUGCAAAUGUAUGUCUGUGUGAGAGCUCAUUGCCAGCUUCAACUGAUGUGUUCAGUGCCAGUGGAAGAAACUUUGCUCGGGAUGAUGGACUGCCUGACGGAUGACACACUGGUCUGAUUUUUUUUUCCUGGUAUAAUUUCACUUUUUAGAUUAAAAUAGUGAAGAAGGUUCUGGAAACAGUCUUUUACCUGUUACACGGUAAUUUCUGCUUCUGGGUGUGCCAGAGACAUUAGACAAGCAGCCCUUUUCAACAAUAGUAGGUCUUAUCUAUAUGAGUCCUGAUCUGCAUUAAGAACAGGAGAGCAGUGUGGGAAUAAGAUGUAGACUAAAAAGUCAUAAGAAAUUAGGCAGACCUAACAUUACAUACUACUUUUUUUUUUUCUGUAAGGAAGACUUUUUUAAAUUUCAAUUUGCUAAAUGCUUUUCUGAAACAUACAGUGAAUUAUCUAAUUCUGGGACAAGAAGAUGAAGAACAUGCAUUUUUGAUAAAUACCGUAUAUAUUAAAGUUGAUUGAAUGUGAGGCAGUGGUUUGGUAAUCCUGAAUUAAUUUUAUGAUUGAAGAGGUCUGAGUCCCAGAGAUGCGGGGACUGUUUUCAGCAACAGCAAUGAAACAGAAUUCUCAUUAUUAUAACAAAAUUAUCUUUAUUUUCAAACAAAGUUAUCCUCAUGGUUAAAUAUAUUUAACAUGUAUCCAGAAACAACGCCUGGUUCUUUCAUGUCAAAUAGCAGCAUAACAAUAGCAAUAGAUUAGUCUGAAAGUGUUAAGAUUGUUGGCAUAUCCAAGAAGUUUGGGUCUUGCUGCCACUCAGGAACAUCACCAAGUUAUAAAUAAAACAAUGAUUUUUUCUAUCCUUAGAUUUUAAGUGAAAAAAUGUGAGGCAAACUUUUUAUUUCUCAUACAAGUCCUCAUGUUUUUCUGGUGGCGGAACAAUAUAGAUGCAUGAUCAAAAUUAUAAGGUUGAAUUUAAUGACUGAGGCCAGAAACAUUUCCUUUCUACCUUUUUAUGGGAAGUUGUCUUUUCCACCAAAGCAAAGAUUGCUAGAAAAGAAAAAUCUUAUUAUUUUUUAAUUUAUGUAUAAACUCUUUUAAAGACAACUAAAAAUCAAAUCAAACCGAAGGAAAAUCAAUAUCAUACAAUAACCUUUAAACAAACAAUAAAAUGGUUUUUUUUUUUUUUGUUCUUUCAUCAGGAUGUGAAAUUAUUUCCAACUGAAUUUGACAAAAACAAUUUCUUCAGCAUUUCCUAUGAAACUAGUUACGUUUUGUAUCAUAUUUAAUUUUGAUCUUUCAUGAAAAAAUGUAAACAUUUUGAGCAGCUGGUUUUUAGCCUAUAACAUAAAAAAACUGUCUACUUCCCUUCAUAAUUCCUAAGAUAGCACACUCGACUGCAUUUUAAUCUACCAUUUUUUAGGCCAGCAUGGGACUUCUUUCCUGUUCAGUAAUAGAAUGGAGCCAAAGCUGUGUUUAUAACCUGUAUUUAUUAAGAGAGAGAAGUCAUUCCAUAAUAAACUUGUUUUACGUUUAAUCUAACCUUGUUCCACUGGCUUAAUGAGAUUCAUAGUCAUAUUAUUCCAGUACAGGACCCUCAAGAAAGAUAAAUUUAAUUUAUUGGUAGUGAUGCACAAUAAGAAGUGAAAGACUAGAAAGAAAACCAAAUGGUAGCAGAACAGGAUCUAAAGAGUCCUUUUGCAAAAGACUGUGAAAAUAUCAUUUUUAUUAGAUUUAUUAGAAUAUUUAUUAGAAAGAUCUGAACUUGUAUGGAUGAGUUUAACCAAACCAUUGGUGUACACACAUAAAAAAGCAUAAUCCAAAUCCUCCUGAUUUUUAUUUACAAUCUGAACAAGGCUCACAUUAAGUCAUUGCACCUGUACUUGCCCCUGCCAUUAUUCAGUUUACCCUUACAUCACACAUGCUGUUUGAACUGUCUGAACCAGGGCUAUAUCUUACAUGAAACAUUCAAACCACUUGAGCAUUGCUACUAUGAAGUGGCAAUAAAACAGCUAGUAGGCCAUGUCUAUGUCUUUAUCAUAGUAACAUUUUAAAAGACACAGCUUAUCAGCUUCUUCUUAAUGACUAUCUAAAGUAAUUCCCAACUUUCAAGUAUGUAGAAUGAUCAAAUACGUCAUUGGAUGAUAUUCAGUUUUCUUUUUAUUUGUCACAGGUAAAUUUUCAUUGUGGUUCUUGAUGGUUUUUGAGCCAAGUGCUUUGUGAAAAUCACCUGUUUCCCUUCUAUCGCACGUGUCAUAUCAGAAAAGUGCUUUCCACGUCUGCUGUUUAAUUAAAACUGUCUUCUACCAACAACAUAAAACUGGAGCUUAAGCCAUUAGCCACAACUAGGAGACAGCUUAGGUGAACAUAGGUUCACUGUCCAGUUCAGUUAACAUUCUCUUUGAAGUCAUGGGGACAUCAUCCACAAUUUCAGUUAAAGUUGUAGUAAACCUCUAACAUCUGGUUUAACAAAACUUUAAAUGUGUCUCUCUUUGAACUCCAGAUUUAGCUGUGCUUCCCUGCUGACUGGAUACAUUCCCAUGUUGUGUGAAGAGACCACCUCUAUAUUCAACGACAUCCAGAAACGUCUGGAAGAGCUCAUGACAAACCAAGGCAGUGCAGCUCAGACCUCUGUCUUGUUCUUUUCCCUGAGAUCUGGGACCACCAUCCAACAGCCUGCUUUUGAAGCUCCAUACUGACUUUUUGCAGACACCCACAGCUAACACGAAUCCUCUCUAGAAGCCAAGCAGAUCCUUCCCUACUUAACCCCUAGGUGUGGUGUAUAAUAUACUCACAUUCAGGCUUUGCACAGUUCCUAAACACAACAUAGCUCUUAAAAGGCAAAGUAGAGGAGAUAUAUUAAAAGUCAACAAGUGACCAAGCUGAAUACAAAUCCUUUUCUCUGUCAUUCAUUCUGUCACUGGGGGCCCAUCUGUGUAGGACUUCAGGGUCAGGAAAGCAUCUGUGCCCCAGGGAGAUUCUACCCUGGCACUGCUCAUCCUGAGCAAGGAGCUGCUCUCCAUAAACAUCCCUCUUUUGUCAUAAGUCUGUAAUCAGCUCCUGAAGGUGGUCAGGAACAGCUAUCAGGUGUACAAUUAACAGGUAAUCUUCUCUCCAAUUAAUUCUUUUACGAGGGUGAAAUGCCUUCUUUUUUGAAGCAAAUUAGUUAUGAGUGUGAAGCAUGCAAAUCUGCAGAUCUUGUUAAAUUUGUUAUGCUGUGCCACUAUUGUGGGGGAUUUUACAGCAGAUGCAGAUAAAAUUGAAUAAAAAGGAAUUCCUGCUUCCCACUCACAUAGGCAGCAAGUUCAUAAUUUCCAACAGGAUUCAUGAAUUGUUAUAAAUGGAUUCCUCAUGUCAACACAAGCAUUUGCAAAUAUAUUGCUGAACUGGGGUUCAUGUGAUACUGGUGAGCAGCAUGGACUGAUUCUUCUAUGAAUUUUAAUGCUGACCAUGAAAAUAAAUUUUGCUUUUGAAAA
ensembl:lncRNA